GACGAACGCUGGCGGCGUGCUUAACACAUGCAAGUCGAACGGUAAGGCCCUUCGGGGUACACGAGUGGCGAACGGGUGAGUAACACGUGGGUGAUCUGCCCUGCACUUCGGGAUAAGCCUGGGAAACUGGGUCUAAUACCGGAUAGGACUCCUGGCUUCAUGGUUGGGGGUGGAAAGCUUUUGCGGUGUGGGAUGGGCCCGCGGCCUAUCAGCUUGUUGGUGGGGUAAUGGCCUACCAAGGCGACGACGGGUAGCCGGCCUGAGAGGGUGACCGGACACACGGGGACUGAGAUACGGCCCAGACUCCUACGGGAGGCAGCAGUGGGGAAUAUUGCACAAUGGGCGCAAGCCUGAUGCAGCGAAGCCGCGUGAGGGAUGACGGCCUUCGGGUUGUAAACCUCUUUCAGCUAUGACGAAGCGCAAGUGACGGUAGUAGCAGAAGAAGGACCGGCCAACUACGUGCCAGCAGCCGCCGUAA
rnacentral:rRNA from 1 species